rnacentral:rRNA from 1 species
UACGGAGGGUGCGAGCGUUGUCCGGAAUCAUUGGGCGUAAAGGGCGCGUAGGUGGCCCGGUCAGCGUGCGGUGAAAGCUCGGGGCUCAACCCCGAGUCGGCCGUGCGAACUGCUGGGCUCGAGCACUGUAGAGGCAGGCGGAAUUCCGGGUGUAGCGGUGGAAUGCGUAGAGAUCCGGAAGAACACCGGUGGCGAAGGCGGCUCACUGGACCGGUACUGACGCUGAGACGCGAAAGCGUGGGGAGCGAACAGG